AUCGAACGCUGGCGGCAUGCCUAACACAUGCAAGUCGAACGCGUGGCGGGCGGGUGUGAAACGUCAGGGAACCUGCCUGAUGGAGGGGGCUAACUACUGGAACCGGUACUAAAACCCCAUACCAUUGGAUUUUCGAUGACGGGAUUAGCUAGUAGGUGGGGUAAAGGCUUACCUAGGAGACGAUCCAUAGCUGAUCUGAGAGGAUGACCAGCCACACUGGAACUGAGACACGGUCCAGACUCCUACGGGAGGCAGCAGUGGGGAAUAUUGCACAAUGGGCGCAAGCCUGAUGCAGCCAUGCCGCGUGUAUGAAGAAGGCCUUCGGGUUGUAAAGUACUUUCAGCGGGGAGGCGUUACCCGCAGAAGAAGCACCGGCUAACUCCGUGCCAGCAGCCGCGGUAAUAC
rnacentral:rRNA from 1 species